rnacentral:rRNA from 1 species
CCUACGAGAGGCAGCAGUGGGGAAUCUUCCGCAAUGGGCGAAAGCCUGACGGAGCAACGCCGCGUGAUCGAAUGAAGGCCUUCGGGUUGUAAAGAUCUGUUGACAGGGACGAAUAAGCAAUGCGAAUAGUUUUGUGUAUGACGGUACCUGUUUAGAAAGCUCCGGCUAACUACGUGCCAGCAGCCGCGGUAAUACGUAGGGAGCAAGCGUUGUCCGGAAUUACUGGGCGUAAAGGGCGCGUAGGUGGGCGCUUAAGUCAGUUGUGAAACCUCCGGGCUCAACCUGGAGACUGCACUUGAAACUGGGUGUCGUGAGGGCAGGAGAGGAAAGUGGAAUUCCUAGUGUAGCGGUGAAAUGCGUAGAUAUUAGGAGGAACACCAGUGGCGAAGGCGACUUUCUGGACUGUACCUGACGCUGAGGCGCGAAAGCGUGGGUAGCGAACGGGAUUAGAUACCCCUGUAGUC